rnacentral:lncRNA from 1 species
GAUCGAUUGAUUGAUGGUCCAUAUGCAUGCAUUAUUAUUCCUGUUGCUAUACCAUACCACCUUCUUCUCUUCUGCUCGCUAGCUCCCGCCAUCAGCCCAUCUCCAUUUAAGCCGGAGCUCACAGCAGUGCGCGCGCAUGAGUGCGUGGUCGUUAGAUGUAUAUAUAUGUGCAUGCAUGAGCUGCUCGAGGCUUGCAAGAAGGUGGCAGAUUUGAUCGAUGGCGAUGCCGGUGGAGACGGCGGUGUGCAUCGCGCGCAACGUGCUCUUGCUGCUGGACGCUUGGGUCUGGACGUGCGUGCUCGCCGCCGACGGCGCCGCGCGCCUCCUCCGGUCGGCCACGCACUGAUCGAUCGAUCGUCCCCCGCCGCCGAUUCACGGUGAGUGAUCAGCUGGCUGUAGCUGCUGCUGUUAUUUGCCUUCCUGUUGAUUGAUCAAUAUGGCUCGCUCGCUAGCUUCUUCGAAGUCACGGCGAGGUGGUGCUUUUAUUUCUUUAAAUUUAGGUCCUGUUUGGAUAAUAUAUAUUAAAGGGUCUUAAAGGAAUUUUCAAUGAACAAACGACUCGGAGGAAAGGGAAAUACUUCAUUUUAACUACAAGCUAGCUAGUUAUGUAUAUAUAUUCAGACAUGAUCGAUCUGUACAUGAUGCAAAUUUGAGUUUGUCAUUGGAAUGAAGGGUUAGUUGAGUUCUUUCUCAAGAAAAGGAAACCAUCAUAGUGUUUGUUGGAAACUUGGAAUGGAGGGAAUCAUCAUAGCGUUUAAUUAAUUGUUUCUAUGUUUUUUUCAUUCCUCUAUUUAAUUUAUAUUCUUUGUUUCAUCAAACAGGCCGUAUGUGUCUAGAUGCAAAACGAAAGAUAUCAUCUGCUCCACCCAUAUGACCUCGUGAGUCGAUCGUCCUCGUAAUAGUACAGGUGAUGUACUUUUUCACAAGUAUUUGGUUUCCAUCUAUAGUUUCCAUUGCAACCAAAAAAAAUCAUUUUACAUGUUGAAUGGUCGUAAAGCCUAUGCGCUAGCUGUUUGAUCAAUGAUUUGCAUUAUGCUGUUCUAUCUAAUUAAACAUGAAUAGCGGCUCUACGCGUGCAUAGAGAUCACAUGUGUUUGUCUCUUUGGUUAAUGGUUAGGUGGCUGAUUCCAUUUUGGUUUUUCCAUUUAAUUUGAUGAUGUGGUAUAUAUGGUGGUUGAGCAUAUAAUUAAUAUUUUCCCUCAAGUAAUAGGUGUUCAAAUAAUUGGCAAUGUUAGUACAGAGCGUCAAGCAAUUAACCUAGUAGUGUAAAGUAAAAAAGGAUAUCGAAGAAUUAUGUGGUAAUUAAUAUUGAUUUUUUUGUCCCAUUUCAGGGCUCGUCAAGCAUGUGUAUAGCAACGUUAGAUAUAUAUUGAAGUCGUCCAGGAUCGGAGAUAUACUCUCUUUUUUUCAAUACAAGUAAUGAUUUUGAAACAGCUACUUGUUCACCUUUCUUUUAUUUAUCAUCUUAGAGGAUGACGACAUUGAUGUGAAGUAAUAUAUGUAACAGAAACUAGCUAGCUGCAGCAUUAAUUGGGUAUGAAUUCCAAUUUCUGCGCCAGUGUACCAAUUUCUCGUGUUCAAUGAAAAAAUGUAUGAUGAUUUGCGUUUGUCGUGAACCUGAAGGGGAAAAAAAUUGUACCCUUGAAUCUACGUAUUUUCUGCUCAGAUGUUGAUACUUGACUUGGAG